CCUACGGGUGGCAGCAGUGGGGAAUAUUGCACAAUGGGGGAAACCCUGAUGCAGCAACGCCGCGUGAGUGAUGACGGCCUUCGGGUUGUAAAGCUCUGUCUGCAGGGAAGAUAAUGACGGUACCUGAGGAAGAAGCCACGGCUAACUACGUGCCAGCAGCCGCGGUAAUACGUAGGUGGCGAGCGUUGUCCGGAUUUACUGGGCGUAAAGGGAGCGUAGGCGGCCGUGUAAGUGUGAUGUGAAAUGCGCGGGCUCAACUCCCGUGCUGCACUGGAAACUGGACGGCUAGAGUGCAGGAGAGGUAAAUGGAAUUCCUAGUGUAGCGGUGAAAUGCGUAGAGAUUAGGAAGAACACCAGUGGCGAAGGCGAUUCACUGGACUGUAACUGACGCUGAGGCUCGAAAGCGUGGGGAGCAAACAGGAUUAGAUACCCGAGUAGUC
rnacentral:rRNA from 1 species